UACGUAGGGGGCAAGCGUUGUCCGGAAUUAUUGGGUGUAAAGAGCGUGUAGGCGGCCAGAUAAGUCCGCUGUGAAAUCUCGAGGCUCAACUUCGAGCUGUCGGUGGAAACUAUCUGGCUAGAGUCCGGAAGAGGAGAAUGGAAUUCCUGGUGUAGCGGUGAAAUGCGCAGAUAUCAGGAAGAACACCCGUGGCGAAGGCGGUUCUCUGGGACGGUACUGACGCUGAGACGCGAAAGCGUGGGGAGCGAACAGG
rnacentral:rRNA from 1 species